AAGAAGUAAAUCAUUCUUUUUCUCUCUUCCUCCUGCUCUCUGCUCUGCAAUCGCCAUGUGACCAGGGAAGAAGAUGCCAGUGAAAGGCAUCCUCCAUAAGAUAAGUCUUAUGAUUAUGGAUGAUAAUUAAGACUGAGCUAGCAAGUAAGAAAUCCUAGGGAUUGGCCAGCAGCAUUGCACCUAUUAUAAGUCUCUGUGCGUUACUUGGGAUCUUAAUGUAAUGUGGCGGCGGGCAGAACUUGAGCAGAACUCGGGUGCCCUGGCAGAAAGCCCAUGUGGCAGCAGGGCUUGGGAGGUUGUAGUAAAGACUUAUUGUUACACCUCUCCUCAUUUUUCCCAUCCUGCCGCCUUCAAGGCAACUCCCGUCCUACUAUGCCCCUCUCUAGAACUCACUCUCCCUUUACCCACACCAUCCUUUUCUAUUUUUCUGUCUGCCUCAAUUACUUCAGGCUACAUCAAACCAAAGAAGAGAGAACAUAUGGUGUUUCUUUCUGGGGGCGGGAUGAGGGUUACCUUACUCAGUACAGUAUUCUCUGGUACCAUCCAUGUACCUGCAAAUCUCAUCAUUUCAUUUUUCUUUUCCAAUAAAUAGAAUCCCAUUGCAUAUAUGUACCAGAUUUUCAUAGUCUAUUAGUUGAAUGCCAUUUAAGUUGUUUCCAUUUCCUAGCUCCUGUGAACAGAGUGGCAAUGAAGAUGGCUGAGCAAGUGUCUCUGUAGUAGGAUGACCAACCCUUUGGUUUUAUGCCAAGCAGUGGUAUAACGGGGUCAUAUAGUAGAUCUAUGUUUAGCUUUUUGAGAAUUCUCCACACGGUUUUCAAUAGAGGCUGGACCUGUUUGCAAUCCCACUAACAGUGAGCGAGGGUUUCCCUUUCCUGACACAGUCGCCCGAGUUUGUUUGUUGUGUUCUUGAUCCUAGCCAUUCUCACUGGAGUCAGAUGAAACCUCAAAGCAUUUUAAUCUGGAUUUUCCUAAUUCCGAAAGAUGCUGAACACUUUCAAAUUUAUUUCUUGUCUAUUUUUAUUUCUUCUUUUCAGAAUUCUAUGUUCAGAUCCACAGCCCAUUUUAAUAAUAAAAACUUGCUUUUGGUCCAUUUUGUUUGUCCUUACACAAGUCUUGUGAGAUUUAUGUAUCAUGAGUCUCACUUUACAGAUGAACUUAAUCAGGGAAAACUCAAUGAUAUGCUGAAGAUCCUACAGCUUGUCAACAGUGCCACCUCCUGAUCCCGUGGCCUUUCCCUGAAACACUCCGAACCUCAUUAUUAUGAGGAUUGCUGUUUUCUUAACUCUUGACAUAGAAAACUUGGAGUGGUCAGUUGCACGUGACUAAACCGAAGAAAGCAAGCAAGUCCUUUUAACAGAAUUUUCUUUUUAAACCGUUUUUUCUCUCUGACUCUUCCUAGUUUGCUCAUUCAGGAAUGACAAGCAUAAUUUUCCAUAAGGUAGAAGUCAUUCCAAUGGUAUGAGGAUGUGAGAGAGGCAGUCAGAGAUGAAGCAACAGAUUUUGAACUAUCAGGGCCCCAAUCUUGCAGGUAGCUGGAACUCAGGGAAGGGAAGGCCAACCUUGGGGCCCCGCCCAGGGGUCAGAUAAGUUUUGAUGAAUUUGGAGUACAAGUCAAAAAGGAUUAAAGAAUGGGACCUUGACCACAGGAAUAGAAUAGACCUUCAUCUGUCCUUGGUUCCCCUAGGAGAGGCACAGGGACUUGUAGAGUUUAGUACAGUGGAGAGGUGGGGCAGGAGUAUAGAGUGAGGUCAGAAAUGGAGUGGAUGUCCAGAGCAGAGGGUGGCUGCAAGCCCACUUCACUGUGUAGUCCAUAUGGGCCUUUGGCUUAUUGGCCUGGACCUGGGCACCCAAGAGAAAUAGGCGACUUCCCUCCCAGUUAGCAUGGCUCAGUAGGUUUGGACCGGAACACUGGUCUUAGUAAAGAUUCUCAAUGGUCCAAGGCUCUGUAGAGGAGAGAGGUUAAAUGACUAUGUGAAGGGCAGCCAGCUGAUCUGAGUGGUUACAGUUAAGACUAGAGCUUAGUCUAUGGGCUUUAGCACAGCAUUCUUUUUCCAUAGGUCACUGCUACAGGAGGAGAUAGGCUUCUGGUAUGUGUGUGGGGUGUUGCCUUGUUUAUUAAGUGAUGUGGGAAGACCUGACCACUGUGGGUAGUACCAUUCCCUGCCGGGGAUCCUGGGCUGUAAAAGUGUAGAGAGGCUGAGCAGAGCAAGUGGCAAGCAUACAAGCAUUCACUGGUCCCUUCUGACUGUGGACACAAUGGGGCCAGCUGCUUCAAGACCCUGUUCCACCAUGAUAAGCUGUAACCCAGAACGGUGAGCUAUAAUGAACCAUUUCUUCCUUAAGUUGGAGUAUUUGUCACAGCAACAGGGAAAGAAACUAAGACAGUUGCCUGCACUGCUGUUAGUCUGGACACCAUUUUGGACACUUCCAAUGGUCAGCUGUGUACUGUCUGGACUACAGACCACACUUUCAUCUUCCAAUGGGGAACCACAAGGAAGCCUGAGGUUCCCUUUCUGGACUGGAGGAGGGGGCAGUAAGGAAAAUGGAAUGUGGGUUUUUUCUUCCCCUCCCAUCCCUACCUCAACUAGACCUAAAGUCCUUCUUGAUUACUUUGUUUAAUUACACACCAUCUCAUUUGAAAAGAGGUUCUGAUUCUUGUUUGGCUUUGUUUUUGUUUGUUUGUUUGUUUGUUUGGUUUUGCUUUUUUGGGUUUUGGUUUUUCAAGACAGGGUUUCUCUGUGACUUUCGAGGCUGUCCUGGAACUAGCUCUUGUAGACCAGGCUGGUCUCGAACUCACAGAGAUCCGCCUGCCUCUGCCUCCUGAGUGCUGGGAUUAAAGGCUUGCGCCACCACCACCCAGCUUGUUGUUUUGUUUUGAGAUCUGUUCUCUCUUUGUACCCCUAACAGUUAUGAAUUCCCUAUAUAGACCAGGCUGGCCUUGGACUCACAGAAACCCACGUGUCUCUGCCUCCCAAGUGCUGGGAUUAGAGGUGUGCAAUGCCAUAGCCUGCGGUAGUCAGGAGACAACUUGGGAGAGUGAAUUCUGCUUCUCUUCUUUGACAGUGUGGAUCCUGGGGAUUGAACUCAGGUCAUCAGGCUUGGAGGCAAGUGUUCAGUAAGUGUUGUGUUUUGGAGGCCUAGUUAUGCAGCCAGCUUUCUUCUGCUUGUUCAUGGCCAUAGAAAAAAUUCCUGCCUCUAGCAGGGAGACGUAGCACCAAUUCCUCAGGAAUUUCUUGGGAGAUGGUGGCACUUCCUUUAGAACCAGUUCUAUGAAAGGUGAUUCACUUGCCUAUUUCAUGCCUAGUCUGCCUAUACUCUGUUUAAUUGCAUCUCACCUCCUGGAUUGCUCUGGGGAAAGGUAGAGGAGACAGGCUGAGCUCUCAGUGUCUAUAACUUCUUGCCUUUCUGCCUUACAGUAGAUUUGUACCUUACAGUGGGAUUCUUUGUGUGCCCGUAGAGAGCUGGUUCAAAACCUUUGCACUUUGCAGACUCUUGUCUGCAGGGAAGCAUAAGAAAGUAACUGCUGAAUGGAGACGAGAGGAUUCGUACUGUGUGACCCCUGAUGGACUCCAGGAGGCUGUGGAAGGGAGGUGAUAUUCUUGCUAACAAGAAGGCAGGUGAAGCGUUAGACAACAAGGGCUUAGAGAAGAAAUACUUGACCUCCACUUCAUGCCACAGAAGUUUUCCUUAGCCAAGCACCUACUCUCCCCACUUUCGGGGUGAGAUUCCCCUUGGAUAGGGUGGAGUACACAGCCUGCUGGUUCCCGUCUUCUCCCUGGCCUGCCUGUUUCGUCAGAGCUCACCCUCACCCGGCAAUGCCUCUAUGCUCUAAUUGGCCUUAACUCAAGUGCCAGGCCUGGGUGCACUUUAGAAAGCCAUAAACUCAAGCCAAGCAGAGGCAGAGGGGAGCCUUGCUCCCCUUGUUCGUGCAAUGUAAACCAAAGGAAGUUUCCAUCCUUGUACCCCACUUCCUAUCCUCCUAAACUUAUAGCAUGGUGUGUGCCUCCCUCUGCUGGCUAACCACGGAUCAACACUUCUUUUUUCAUGGUUAGGGGCUGAGAAAGUUUCACAUCUUACAGGGAGAGAUCCUUCCCAGUGAUACCAUUGCUCAGGUCAUUAAUGGAAAUAUAUGAUCCCUACAUGGCAUAUGCUGCGCGGGUUACCCCUGACAGAUAGGUGACAGGCCAAUUAUGCCUUGCCAUCCCCAUCAGUCCACAUGCCAAUGACCCCAUACAUCAUCUCCCCCUUCACUUCCUGUGUACAGAAACCAAGUACAUGGCCGUUCUAGCCCUUUCUCCUUUGAUUCCCCUGCAGUUUGCUUCCUUUCUGUUUGAUUUAUACUCAUGCAGUGAUUUUGAAACUGGAUAGAAAGCAACAAGUCUGUCAACACUGAAUGUAAAAGAAUGAAGAAAGAUGAUCAUGUGAUCUUUUCACUAAUGAAGUCACAGUUGGUAACAGUCCUAUUAUAUGAUCUUUACUCUCUAGGGCAUUCUCGAAAAAUCCUGUAAGAUAAAAACCUGUCAUCUUUUGGGCACUCCCUCUCCUGGAGCCCAUUUUGUCACUAACCCUUCUAAUCAGGUCCUACCCCUUCAGAGAUGCUCAGGUCACCCCCUCUACCGUGUGUCUGCUGUUUCCUUUUUCUGUUGCCAACUUCACAUACUCCUGGGGUUCUGAUGGUCCCUUCCUCUUUACUGGGGCUCUCUGCUCUACUCCUGGGGUCCCCCUUCCUUUCUCAGUUCCUGCCCCUACUGGAGCUUCUACUCCUUCUUUACCCCCACCCCAUAAGCCCCUGAGUUCUACAAGACCCUUAUUCAAUGUUCCUUGAACCAAAUUCCCACCACUGGGUUAGGGGAUCCCUUUUGGAUUUGGAUCAGAUCCACGGAAAUCUCAACUGUGAUCUGAGUUCCCCCAUUUCCACAAAGGAAAACUGAGGCUCACAAAAAUGUUUUCUGUGCUCUCUCCCUUUUGCUGGGAGCAUUUGGGUUACUAAAUAGCACUCCCUCUCCAAUGGCAUCAUUCAUUCUUGCCUACCCAAGGAUUCCCCCUCACUGUCUCCUUCACAGUCUUAAACUUACAGUCCAUCCCACUCCUAAGUAUCAGCUCCCAAUACCAAGGAACACAUCGUACCUAGAAGCCCCAGUGGCCACACCUAGUAGGAUCCCAGAAACAUUUCCUACCAGGCAACACACAGCCUCCUAAGAACCAGAGAGGGCAAUAGAAGCCCAGGAACAAAACACCCACCCAACAAAGAUAUGACCAGAUAGAGGUGUGUGGUUGUUUAAAUGACAAUUGCUCUCCAUAGGCCAGGCAUUUGAACACUUGGUCCCCAGCUGGUGACACUCUUUGGAGAGUCACAGGAGCUGUAGCCUUGCUAGAGGAGUGUGUCACUGGGAUAAGCUUUGAGAGUUUGUAGACUCGCCCUAGAUCAUUUUGCUUUCUGCAUAUACUUGUGGUUCAAGAUGUGAGCACUCAGCUUCCUGUUCCCAGUGCUGUGACUGCCACUUGGAUCCAUGCCUUCCAACCAUGAUGGCUCUUAUCUUUCUAGAACUUUAAUAAAUCCCUCAGUGUGUUUAUUGGUCAUGCGCUUUCUGUCAUGGUGUUUUAUCACAGCAGCAGAGAAGAAACUAACACAGGGUGAGAGCGGAUUUUAACAAAACCAUCCUCUUUUGUAACACCUUUACCUUUUGGACACAAUAUCCUUGAUAAUAAAAGCAACUGCAUGAGGGAGGGGAGAGAGGGAGAGAGAUGGAGAGAGAGGGAGAGAGAGAGAUCCUUGAAGUGUCACUGAUGCCCAUCACUACUUUGAAGUUAUAAUAGUUAUUAAGUUUGUUACCAGCCCUGCUGUUUGAUCAUUAAUAAAAACAUACAUAUCACUGCACUAUGAAUUUAAUUCAAUAUUUUGAUAGCAGACUUUCAAAAUGAUAUAAUUCCUUUGUAACGGUGUGCUUUUAAUUUUACACACUUAAGAUAUUAUUCUUAGCUGGUUGGUGAUGGCGAAUGCCUUUAAUCCCAGCACUCAGGAGGCAGAGGCAGAUGGGUCUCUGUGAAUUCAGGGCCAGCCUGGUCUGCAUAUCAAGUCCCAGGACAGCCAGGCCUAUGCAGAGAAACCCUAUCACAAAAAACCAAACAACAACAAAAAUUAUUCUUAGACAGUCUCCAUAGGAUUCCUUGGAUGAUUAAAAGAGAGCCCUCACAUAAAAACAAUAUCAAAGCCACUGUCCUAGGAAGCUGUGGGCCUCUGGCCAAACUCCCAUAAUGUAGCAGUAACCAUAGGGAGGGUCGCUCUCCAAAUAGACUGGCCACAUGGCUUAUCUUUGCAGCAAGGGCAUUUUGAACUACGAAAGGAGGGCACUAACAAUAAUUGUGCUGGCAUAGCAGGAGUAAACAGGGACCUCUGGCCAUCCACUCAGCUGCCAUGCAUUCCAAAAUGAAGAAGCACAUAUAAAAUACCAGGAGGUCAUAGGCGACCUAUAAGGACUAAAAUUAAACCUUACCCCCAUUUAAAUACACAACUUUUGCACUAGACAGUCACCUAGAAUCCAAGCACGGGAACAGAUCUAGGUUGGAAACAUAACAGUUCAGAAGAAAUGACCAUAGUAUAGGAUGACAAGUACUGGAAUACCACUCGCUGUGGGCCAGGUUGUGUCUCACAACGACCCCAGGAGGCCAAAAGUAGGAUUGUCUCCUUGUCACAAGUGAGAAAGAGACCAUACUGCCCAGCUGCAGACCUGAGCCGCCAUCUCUUUGAAUUGUCGUGUUCUGAAUGGAAUCCAGGAGAAUCACUGAUGGAAUACAAAUCCCCAGUCUUCACCUCAGUAGGGACUGUCUUCAUUCCAGAUGACACAGUGGAAGGUUCCCACAGAGCAAUCCAAAUAUCCCCUUAAGAGCACGACGUUGUAAGCAACUCUGCCUCCAGGAAUCUGCCCUCUUCCUUCAGCUGCCCUUGGUUCCCAUGGGAGAGGCACAGGGACCAGUAACGAACAGCAUAGGCUUAGAUUCAAAUUUCAGACACCGAUGAGCUUGUUGACCUUGGACGAGCCACAGAGCCUUUGCCCUUCGAGUUUCUCAUCUACAAAAUGAGAAUAAUGGCAGACCCCAUAGAUGGCAGAUAGGAAAAAUGAACUUCUCUUCGAUAAACAAAAAUUGUUCAAUAGUCACUAUCACUCUCUGCUAUGAUAAUUUUGUCCCAGAACUCAACUCUCAUGUCUUAAUUCUGAGUGUUUCUAUGGGUCCUGAGAUUUACAACCUGGCUUCCUCCCCAGCUUUUGCUGUCGUCAUCUCUGGGUUAUUGCAAUAUUUGCUUACUUAGGAUUUGCACCACCAACCAUUUUGCUGAUGCCACAGAAACUGAUGACUGGAAGUGUGGCGUGGGACACGCGUUCUCACCAUCCUCACGGGCUCCAUUCACUGGCUCCAUAAUAAAAUUUGUGGCAGAGCUCUUCGUUUGCAUUUUGCUGAGUUGAUGCAAAUUUCUAGUUCAAGGGGUACUGAGAGAAUGUUGAGAGGACUGAGUUGACAAAACAUAGGAUGGAUCAUUUAUCACCUUGGUAGAAACUAGAUGAAUUUCUGUUUUCAACGGAAAUAAGACAUUAGAAGGGAUGGCUAGGUUUGCUUCAUGAAAAAUUGGAGCAGUGCAAAAGAGAGAUCAUUCAAUAGAAAAAGGGAAGUCACAGGCUGGGAAAUGUUUACAUCAAAGUGGGAAAGAGGGUAUUUUGGGUCUUGGCUCUAAGAUGACAAAAAAAAAAAAAAAAAAAAGUAAUGACGUUAGUGCAAAGGGGUCGCAGCCAUGUGCAGCUAAUCACUGCACACACCGUGCCCUGUGGGCGCCCAAGGACAAGGCCAUUUACAAGUUUGCCAUUCGGAACAUUGUGAAGGCCACUGCCAUCAGGGACACAAUCCGAAGCAAAUGUAUCUGACACUUCCGUACUUCCCAGACUCUAUCUCAAGCUGCAUCACUGGGUGAGCUGUGCUAUUCAUGGCAAGGUGACCGGUCAGGAGUUGACCCAGAGAAACCCGGAAGGACUGAACACCCCACCAUGAUCUAGACCUGCCCGAGCUAGAUCACCACAACCUCUCCAAAGCCCAUGUAAAGAGGUGGCUUCCCAAGGAGAGAAGGAAAGAUAUCUUGGAAAAAUAAAAUGCCAAUUAUAAUUUAAAAAAAAUAAAAAGAGGGUAAUAAUUAAGAGUUAUAGAGCUGAUAUUUUAAAUCUUUCAUAACUUUUAGUGUGUGCAUGUACAAUUUGCAAGAACCAGGUCUCUCCUUCCACCAUGAGGGUCCCAGGGAUUGAACUCAGGUUGUCAAGUUUAGUGUCAAGUGCCUUUACCCAUGGAACCAUCUUGCCAGCCCAAGGCUGAUUUUUUUUAAAUAGUUUUGUUGCACUAAGAAUUUUUUCCUAGCCAGGCAGUGGUGGCACAUGUCUUUAAUCCCAGCCCUUGGGAGGCAGAGGCAGUUGGAUCUCUAUGAAUUCAAAGCCAGUCUGAUCUACACAGUGAGUUCCAGGACAGCCAGGGCUAUUACACAGAGAAACCGUGUCUUGAAACAUUUCCCCACCCAAAGAAUAUAUAUAUUGGUUUUGCGAGACGGGGGUUUCUCUGUGUAGCUUUGGAGCCUAUCCUGGAACUCACUCUGGAGACCAGGCUGGCCUUGAACUCACAGAGAUCCGCCUGCCUCUGCCUCCCGAGUGCUGGGAUUAAAGGCAUAUGCCACCAACGCCUGGCAAUAUUUUUAUUUUUUAAAAAGUUUUAUUUUUACUAUUUUUAGUUACAUGUGUGUGUGUGAUUUUGCAUGUCAGUUUAUGCCUGUGAAUGUGGGUGCCCAUGGAGACCAGCAUACUCCUGUCCCCUGAAGCUGGAGAUGCAGGCAGUUGUGAGCUGUCCAGUGUGGGUGCUGGGAACUGAACUCAGGUCCUCUGGAAGAACAGCAAGUACUCUUAACUGAAGAAGCAGCUCUCCAGGCUCAGACACCACACACACACACACACACACACACACACACACACACACACACACACACCACUACCUUACUGAGUGCAAAAGGCUCUGGUAUUUCCAGGCCAUUCUAUAUCAAUUUUCUUUGUAAUACUGGUUGGGAAGCACUUAAUUCAUUUCAUAGUCUACUAAUUAGAAGGGAGACAUGUUCACCACAGUAAUGCAUUUGCAUAGUCUAUUAAUUGAUUGUGACUUUGCAGCUCUUAAAAAAAACCAUUUAUUUAUUUAUUUGCUUGUUUGUUUGUUUCAGACUGGGUCUCACUUUGUAGACCAGGCUAGCCUUGAACCCAAAGAGACCUCCCUGCCUCUAACUACUAAGUACUGGUAUUAAAGGCAUGUGCCACCAUGUCUGGCUAAAAGCAAUGAUUUUAAAGUGCUCUGAAAAAUACAUUAUUAGAUAGAGAAUAAAUGUAGACACUCUUCAGAUAGGGUGGGAAGCAAUUUCUAGAAAAAUCUCCUUUCUAAGCAAUGAUAAAAUGCAAUUUCUGUUGAUUAAGUUAGCAACAUUGAUGAGGAUGUCUAACACAUUGUAGACAAUAUUGUAGAGGUGUGGUGCUAAUUUGGUUAUAUUUGUGUGUGUGCACAUGCUCUACUUCAAUGCAAAACAAAUUGGAAUGAUUUGAUGUAUUGAUAUUGCCAAGCGUAAUGGAUGGCAGAAUCUAUUGGUGUAUUUGAUAAGUAAUUGGUGCUCCAUUUGGGAUGCCAUGCAAAUGUUCAUACCCAAAUGUAAUUCUACUUCUGGGAAUGUGUCCCAGUGAAGCAAUCCAGUAAAAGAGAAACAUCUCUACACACAACUUUUUUUUUUAUAUCAGCAGUUAAAUAGUGAGAGAUGAGAAGCCUUCUAAAUAGCCAAGAAUAGCACGAUAUUUAAAUAAACACACUGCAUCAACUCAAAAUAUUUUGUUACCCAAUUGAGAAAUUAUGAUGACUAUCCAGCAACACGAGAAAAUGUUUAUACUAAUCAAUGCAAAAGUUACGAAAACAAAGCCCUGUGUGUGCUCCAGCUUACUAUGGCUGUUUACGAAAUUGUCUUAAAACUUGGUGGCAUGAAAAGGCCAUUUACUGCAGGUCAGGAAUUCCAGCAGAAUAAAACAGUUCAAUAGACUUGUCUGGGACUGUGAAGCCGCACUUCACUAGGCCAGAACCACUGGAAGCUUCAUUAGGGGCCUGUUCCCUCACCUGUUUGUGACACUGGUCUCAGCUGAGACCUUGACUAACUAUUGGCUGAGGGACUAUAAAUGGCUAGGGCUUUCUCAGGACAUCAGGGCUGGACUCCAAGGACAGAAGCCUCCAAGAAAGCCAGGCAGAAACUGACUAAGCUGUGUAACCCAAUCUUGACAAUUACACAGACUUACUGUCACCUCUCUUCAUGGAAAACCACCUAGCUCCAUCUGGUGGCUAGGUGAGAGGAAAGCACUGUAUGAUAAAGAGUGACAGGCUCCCAGAAGAGCAUGCCAGGACAGGCUUGUGGCCAUUUUCAGAAAAUGAAGUAUAAUGCAAUAUGUAUCAAUUACAGCCACAUAAAGAUCACAAAAGUAUUAGAGGUAAGGCUGUGGAAAAUGAAUGUGUUAUUUUUUUUAAAAUUUGUCACUGUUUUGAACAUAAUUUUUUGGUCAAUGAGUAGAAAUAUAUUAAUAAAAUUGUAUCAACAAGAAAUUACGCUGAUAAAGCUUCAGGAAUUAGGCCUAGGGUGACCCUAGCUUCCCUUUAACCUUCAUUUAUAAAGAUCCAUUGUUCUUACUUCAGGAUGACAGUGUUUAAUCUUCUGCACCAGUUACAUCCCAUCCAUUUAUGAAAGGUAGGGCAAGAUGAGCCCAGGCCCCUAAUUGUCAAUCAAAUGGUUCUUGUUCCAUCUUUAUCUCCCCUUUCUCCUGUAACAGGAGAUUUGUUAUUGUUGCUUCUCUCCUGGCUUCCUGAACCACAUCUCCAGUCUCUCUCCUGAAUCUCCUGCUCCUUGAGUUUUGCCCCUGUCCCCCCAUAUUUCCUAGCUAAGUCAAAAUCCCCCUACAUCUUCUACUCUUACCAAGGCAGAUCCUCCAUGAAAUUCAAAGGGCUACACCUCACAUAAAUAAUAUUUGAAGUAAAAUUUUACAUAAGGGAGCUGGAGACAUGGCUCCACAGUUAAGAACGUUGGCUGCUCUUUUAGAGGACCUGGGUUCAAUUCCCAUCACCUACAUGGUGACUCACAACCAUCUGUUACUAUGGCUCCGGGGGAUCUAAUGCCCUUAUCAGAGCUGUGGGCAUCAGGCAUGCAUGUGGUACCCAGACAUGCAUGCAAACAAAACAUCAAUAUGUAUUAAAUUUAAAUUAAAUAAAGCCUAUAUUUUGUAGAGUUUAUUCAGGUUGGAUAACAUGGACAGUUCCUUAGAUAGCCGGGUCUUUCUUAGAUUCAAAUGUUCAGCCUUUUCAGAUGGCAAAGCUUGGCUCCCUUGGAAGAGACCCCUGGCCUUGAGGAUCAUAGAUGAGCCCUCUGGAGGUCUCCUUACUCUUCAGACUGAAGGGAUUUCUCGGCCUCUUCACUGUAUCAUUUUAUAGACCUCGUCCUUGAACCUAUAUCUGUCUAGCCUGGGCUAAGCCAGGCCUUUGUGGCUAAGUGAGGCUCUUAGAUGAUGGAGCCCCAUCUUGAGUGUCACUAACAGAAGAAUUCUCUGCCUCCUAUUUCAUCCUCCCAAUUUCCCUUUCUGUCUUAAAGGGGCCUGGCCGUAUUCUAGUUCCCUGGGAAUGAAAGUUCCUAAAAAGACCCCUACCUUCCAUGGAAUCUUCUACAAAGUUAAUUAACUGACUCAGGGACUGUGGGAGAGGACGGAAUGCUGUAGGUCCAGAAUGCCAUCACAGAUUAUCUCGGGGCUGCCCUUAGCUGCUAUAGUAGCCACCUUGUGUCUACCCCAACAUCCUUGAGACCAACAGAUAACCAACAGCUACAACUUUUUGGAACGCUUCCACCAGCCAAAAGGCUAAGAGUGAAAUCAGACAGCGUCUGAGGCCCAUAGCAGACAUUUCCUCCCCAUUUGCUUUAGCCUACUCCUCCAGUGUUUCCACCAGGGUAUUUGAAAAGUACCUUAAGUUAAGACUUUUUUUUUGUUGUUCUGUUACCAUAAAGGCUUUAUUAAAGUGUUAACCACACUGGAACGUUGAAUAUGUAUCUUACAUCUGUGCUCUGAGGUUUGGUCACUCUUAUUUGACUCCAGAAUAAACUAUCUCUUAUCCCCUUUGAAUAGUGUUUUCACAUUGACAUCCCUUGGGCCAUGAUUACCCUCUGCUAGUUCUCACUUCAGCUUUAGAGACAGUAGAGGGCCUUGUUUUUCUUCAGCAAUAGAGGAACAGAAAGGCAAAGGAGUUUAGCGAAUUAUCUCUCAGGAUAGUAUCUCAGCCUGAAGAGUAUUGCUCCACUCAUUUUUAAAUGUCAAAAGGGAAUAUCAACUUGGCCUUUUACUAAGCAAUUCUCCUGUAACAAGCCCCAAUCUCUUCCCAGACAUUUGGCUUCUAGGGCAGCCUGUGUGUAAAGGUCAUAUACUGAAGAAGACAAAAGAAAAAUUGCAUACAAUUACAAAUUAUCCCCCUACGUACUUUCUCACAGUUCUGUCUGCCCAGCCCAAACAGCUUUUCAAGCUCUAGCUUUUCACAUCAAAUUGCCUAUGACAGAUCUGCAGGCACCUCUAAAACCAAACAUUAUCUUCUCUCUAACUCUGUCCCCUGCCCCCCAUGUUCCCAGCAUCAAAGUGAAGAGGAGAAAACAGCAGAAGAAAAGACUCACGAAUAUCUAAUACCAAGGAUCUUCCUAAUUCCUGGGCUUCACUUUUUAUUCCUUGAGAUUCUGAGCGGCAAUGGGAAUUGAUACCUUUAGCAAGCAUGCCUGAUGCCUCUCAUUCUGACCAAGGUGUCAUGGAGAGGGGGCAUAUUUGGAAGAUGUGCUCCAUGUCCUUCAAGGCAGAAAUUGAACCUGGGGUCAAGGGCGAAUCACACCAGUAGAUUCCCCUUCCUCGGCCACGACUGACUCCUGACACUGCUGUUUGCCCAGCUGAGAAGCCCGCAAUCCUGCUGGCCACCUUGCCUCCCACACUGUCUCUCUGUCAACUGAAUGACUUCUCUGUCCUCUAGGCAUCCUCCCGUGGCUCCCCCCCCCCCAGAUGGACGGCUAGGCUGUCCUGCUGAAGGGUCUCUGGGACCCUUCUCUGUUGUGCUGGCUCUUUUAAUCAUAUCAUUUCCACUUAAUAGCUCACAGUACCAUAAAAAAGAUUCAUUUUAUUUAAGUAUGCGUGUAUGUAUGCUUGCGGGUCUGCGCAUUUGUGAGUGCAGGUACCCACAGAAUCUAGGAGAAGGCACUGGAUUCCCUGGAGCUGGCGUUACCUGCAGUUGUGAGCCUUCUGAUGUAGGUGAUGAGAGAUAAACUUGGGUCCUCUACAAAGGCAGCAUGUAUGCUUACUGAGCCAUUUUCUUUUAGAAAUCUCAAAUCCUUCACAGCUAAGGCCAAACUUGCAGUAGAAAAUGAAGGGAGUUCUGAGAAGGUGGGCUGUAAGCUCAGGCUGUGAGAUCAGCGUGUGAAAGAGAUCAUUGAGCAGAGACAAAAUCUUGGCAGUUGGGAGCCAAGGAAUACCACUAAGUCACAUCACACAACAAACCUCACACAAGAGAUUUAUUGGGGGAAAAAAAAACCACACAGGAAGUUGGCUUCCUCUCUCCAGUGAGAAUCAGAAAAGAACUGAGCUGUAGGUAGGCUUCAUAUAGGGUUUCUUGUGGAUGGUGAUUGGGUGGAGCUUUCCAAGGUGGCCUGGGAUUGGUGGGAUUUUGUAGCCUGAUCUUGGGCUUUUUACUCUAUAGGGUGCAGCUUGGCUGCCUGGGACUUGAGGUGGGGGUUAGGGGGCUGAAGUUAUGGCUGGCAGAGUGUUCUCUGGGUAGAACCUGUGGUUGGAGGUCCUCAGGAGAGGGGCUUACAGAAAGAAUUCUGGUUUCUGUGAUUCACCUCGUAGGCAUGAGAGGUCUGGUGACACUAGAGAGAAACUUCCCUUCUGAGCCUGAUUCUGGAGCCUACGCUUUGGGAUAUUGUUCUUUGACAGCAAUAGCAGUGAGGUGCACGUGGACUGUAGGUCACACUCCUGGUGGAAUCUUAGGCUACCACUUUCUGGUAGAGCCUUGGGGAAGUGAUUUAACCUCUCUGUACUCCAGUGUCAGCAUCUAUAAAAGGCCUGUAGUUUGAAAGAUUCUAGAAAGGGUGUCUCCAAAAAACAUUCUUUUUUUUUUUUUUAAAGAUUUUUAUUUAUUAUAUAUACAACAUUCUGCUUCCAUGUAUAUCUGCACAUCAGAAGAGGGCACCAAAUCUCAUAACGGAUGGUUGUGAGCCACCAAGUGGUUGCUGGGAAUUGAACUCAGGACCUCUGGAAGAGCAGUCGGUGCUCUUAACCUCUGAGCCAUCUCUCCAGCCCCCAAAAGACAUUCUUAUAGCUCUAUGGUCUAUGAGGGUCAGACAACCUCCAUUUUUUGCUUCUUUUGUUUGUCAUGAACAGUUCCAUCUUUUUUUUUUUUUUCCCCGAGACAGGGUUUCUCUGUGUAGCUUUGGAGCCUAUCCUGGCACUCCCUCUGGAGACCAGGCUGGCCUCGAACUCACAGAGAUCUGCCUGCUUCUGCCUCCUGAGUCCUGGGAUUAAAGGCGUGCACCAUCAACGUCCCACUCAUCUUUUUUUUUUUUUAAACAGUCCAUCUUAAACCAGUCUCAAGCAAUUUUAAUAACCAAAGAAGCAAGAACAAAGUAGGCAAUGGGCUAUCUCACUGAAGAAUGAGGACAUCUGAGUAGGGCCAGGCACUGCUGGGGAAAGACAAACCUCACUGCCCUUGACUCUGUCCCUAGCCCUGCUCUGAAGACACUGAGAUGCCUGAGCCAGGAGCAGCCUCUGCUGGGCCUUACUCCUCACCUGUCUCUGAGGAGACCUGGGUGCUACCAUCUCUUCGGCUGAGCCCUGUUCCUGUCUUAAGGAUCUAUUUGGAUCCACCAAAUGGAUGAGGGAGAAAAAGGAAACCCCACAAAACCCAAGCAAUGCCAAGGGAAAUAGGGAUCCAAAUCUAACCCCCACUAUAGUUCAAGAAUGAGGGGAAAAAGAGGUCUUGGAGACUCUUAGAUAAGAGAGUCGAGUUAAGAAAAGGGAUCUAGAAGAAACCAUAAGGCAUUUUCUGAGGUAAGGAAGAUUGUGUUUGGCCUACUGGGCUCAACCCAACCAAGGGUACAGGGGACAUUCAAUAGCUUGGGCCCAGUUUUCUGGAACACCAAUACUGAAAAAAAAAAUGGUGUGUGUGUGUGUGUGUGUGUGUGUGUGCGUGAGAGAGAGAGAGAGAGAGAGAGAGAGAGAGAGAGAGAGACAGAGACAGAGACAGAGAGACAGAGAGAGAGAGAGACAGAGAGAGAGAGAGAGAGGGAGAGAGAGGGAGAGAGAGAGAGAAUUGGUCAUUGAGCCCCUGGCUAGGAGUUUCACAGAAGUGAACACACUCACCAUGUUUCCAUGGUGUUCCAACUAGUGUUGCCCAGAAGACCUAUGAGGUUUGUCCUGACACCUUUGGGCAGAAGCCUUGGUGACUAUGGUACCUCGUUGGGCCCACGGCUGCUGAGGCUUGAGAACUGCAGUAAGCAAGUGACUUCCAGGACUGAGUCAUGAUUAUCAGAGUAACAGGGCAAAUGAGAUUUGUGUGGAACUGGGAAACUCCAUGAAAAACCAGAUCCUCUCCUGUAAGCUGAACAGGUCUAGACUCAGAGGCCUGAGGUUGUAAUGUACAUAAAGUCUUAGUUGUUCUAUAAUUUCAACCUGAUAAAAACUGAGGCCUCAGGGUGGUCUUCUGGGAUUUCUGCUGACUCCUUUAGAGUCAGCUAGCUUUGAGAAUCCUAGGUCACACCUAAAACACAUCAGCUGACACCAAGGAUGCCAGUGAGCACACAAAGACAAGAAGCUAUGGGCUACCUUGACUUGCCUCCCAGAAGCCUGGAUUCUGCUCAGUUGGCCAAGUGAUGAGCAGGCCUGAUCCUCUGACCCAAGAGAGUCUUCUCAGAAGCCCCAACCAGAUUUCUGCUUAGAAACCAGACUGGACAAGCCUUCCCAUGGCUUUUCAAAGCUUGGAUUCUGCUCAGUUGGCCAAGUGAUGAGCAGGCCUGACCCUCUGACCCAAGAGAGUCUGCUCAGAAGCCCCAGUCCAUGAAAAGCCAUGGGAAGGCUUGUCCAGUAUGGUUUCUAAGAUGCCUUGUGCCUAGGCCAACCAAGAGGCCACACACAAAUGCCUACCAUGGGCACAAGAAACUCUAAAUGUCUUCAUUGGAAGGAAAAUGGACAGGCGGGAUGAGUUGGAUCAAAGAUAGCCAUGAUGUUAGCCAGAUCUGUCCCUCUGUGAUUCUAAAACCCAUUUGGCUAGUAACCACAGCAAAGGCUGUGCCAACACCCUCCAGAAAAGAGCCUUUCAAGACUGGGAGGGAAGGUCUAGGGCUGGAUUCUUUCCCCGGCCCAAAAGUGUCAGGGGAAAGACAUAGGAGGGGUCAUCAUUAACUGGGACCCCACUAGGCCUUCCCUUUAACUUGGCUCUGUGCUUCCACCACCAUGGAAAUCUACACUCUUCUAGAACAGGGAAUUUUCUAAUGACCUUGUGCUGAUUUGCUACCCACCUUUGGUUCUGAGGAAAAAUCCCCAUGGAAACUUCCAUCUCAGCCCCAGCUCAACAAAAGGGAAAGGGGAUUUUUCCACAGUGGCUAUGGGUUACUGGAGGAAGGGGCCCAGAGCCCUCCCUGCCAGGCACUACCUCAGAAACCAGGAGCGGUGUCCUGUGGAAAGGAAGUCCUGGGAGGCCUAGAGCAAGAGGCACUGGGAUCCCCCCUCUCUCCUUUCUCACUUUCCUUCACUUUGGACAAGGGUAGACUUUCUAUCCUCCAUGUCUUACUCUUCUGCUAGCACUGGGUGGCUGAGUUUCCCUGGAGGUCUGAUCAUCUCAUAGGUUGGGUCAAGCACUAGAGAAACAUGUUGUUACAGUUCUAAUUCCAAAGGGAAAACUUUCUAUAAGACUAAGUAUAGGGACUUCUAGAAUAUUCGUUCACCCCUCUCUAUCCCUAAGAGCCUCUUCUUUUUCUCCAUUUGUUAAAUAUUCAUUUGCUUUUAUAUGAUGGAAUGUAAUUCACCUAUGAUAAAAUUUGCCAUUUAAAAUAGCAUUUAUACCACCCUCUCUCCCCUAUGACUUCCUAUACCACAGUCAUCUCCCUUGAGAGAUGGGAAAGGCUGGAACUUUCCAAGGCUGAGGUCCCCAGGGCUGCUCCAGCCUGCUGGCACAGAUGUGCCCAUCUCUGGAAUUUCCGGAUAUCCUAUUCAUGCUGCUGGACUCCUGCCAUGAAUGGACACUUGGGCUCCCAGUCAAGUUUUCUACGCAUUAGAGCCUCUUCUGCCAGUCAGAAGGCCUUCAGAGCCUUUGUACAAUGGGGAGGCCAGAUCUUGAAGAUGAGCUGGCUGUGUCAAUGCUGGAACAGGAAUAUGGGCAGAGACUUCAGGCUCAUAUGUCUCAAGCCCUUUCUCCUACAGAUGUGGAAACUGAGGUCCAGAGACUCCAAAGCUGGACAACCUAGUAAUGGCAUCAUGAAGGCAGGCCUUGGACACACCCUUCUCUGCUCUCUGGGAGACAUUAAGUGAAUACACUCCCUUGGGGCCAGGGCUGUACUGGGUGAGCUGUACUGUAGCUCCAAGGGGACUCAGAGGGGCCAGGGCAGGCCUGAAAAAUAAAAAGAGCAAGAGGGCAAAGGCCAGGUCUUAGGAAGACUAAAGCUCGGUUGUCACUCAGUGGUGGCCUGGGAACCCAGAAAUGAGUGCUGGGUUCAUCAGCCCCAUCAAUGGCCUCUUCCCCAAGACUUCUCAUGGCUUCUAUCUUUAGCCCCAGGUUAAUGGCAGAAUAAUUAUUGGCUCAGGAUGAUGAUUGGAUACCAGAACUAGUCCCACUGGCUCAUGAGAGCUGAUUAUGGGAAACUUGCAAAAAGUCUGAUUUGCUUUAAAAAUUAAAGUUCAUACAUUUUAAAAUUCAACACACUAUAUUUGAAACAGUCAAGGCAUACUCAAAACAUCACUUCCUAAUGAUUGUCUUGUAUGCUACUAUUAUCUAUGUGUUGGGGGACCCUAUAUUUUGGAAAUCUAUUCCACCCUGCCAUGAGUUCAGGAGAGCCCAGAAUUUCUAUUGUCUUUUAGAUGUCAGCUAAUAGCUGCUAGGUAUCCUGGUCUCAGUGGAGAAUGGCUCCUUUCUAAAUAACAAUAGACUUGGGCUAGGACGAGUUUAUACCCACCCUGAAGGCUGGUGAGAUGUUCUGGUGUGGGGUGCCUGAAGGCUUGAGUAUGUGCUGCAAAGGAGUGUCUUUAGAAUUAAGGAAAAUAAUUGCUGUCAGCCCUUUAUACAUGAUAACAGAUGUCUUCUGCCAUUGCCCCCACCUUUGGAUGGUUACUUAAGAUGAUGCAUCAAUAAACUGGGCGCCUUCAGUAUUGACUGAUUGCUCUCCUGUUAUGAUCAGAUGUCUCCAUCUCUUCUUUAAUGUCGUUAGAUAGCUAGCUUUCCCUCGUCCCACACUCGCCCACUCAGUGUCGGACCCAGGGUUGUUUGGCUGGUUCCGAUCCUACACCCGAAGACAUCAGUCCACACAAUCUAUGGUUUAGAUGAAAUACUGAUAUUCAGGGUGCCACGUUAUGUCUUGAAAUAGGCCACUGGGGGGAUAGGAAUAGGCAGAUGUCACCAAUGGAAAAUUGUGUUUGUUUUUCCAUUCCCCAUCCACCAACAGGUCCACCCUGGACACCAAGACUCCACCUGAGCAGUGUGUGGGGCACCUUGGGGCUCCCAUUCCACUGUGGCUCCUCACCUGUCACACUUGACAGGAAUCGAGCUGAGGUCACAUGGUGCUGUGGCCUGCUCCAAGGAAGGAGCCAAAGGGAGCCCAUUAGAAGGAAGGCACACGGCACAUUAAGAAUAACAACAACAAUAAUGAUAAGCCAAUGCACAUAAAAAUUUUUAAAAGGAAGGCACAUAAACAUUUGCACAUCUCUUUCCUGCAUUCAUUGCAGUCAUCAGAUAUGUGAGUGUCGUCUGCCAGGCACCUUGCUGGCCUCAGAAGAAAGCAGACACCAAGAACAGCAUCCCCUGUAUCUUCUUUGGGGAUGAGUGGAGCCCACUUGGGCCAAGGAGUCUGUUCACUUGGGAAGUCAGGUGACUCUUACAACUCACAAGUGCUGGAAUCACAUGGCCACAUCUAGGUAUAAUUCAUAGUUUUAAUGGUCCCCUCCAGCUUUAAGUCAUUGGGAAGGGUCUUUUCCUACCACCUUAAGCCUCUCUUUCUCUUCAAGAUUCCACCUUAAGCCUCCCCUUUCCUUCAGACAUGAUCACUCCUCCUCCUGGCUGUUCAUCUCACUUUCUCAUUUUAUACAGUAAGUCAACGACUUUUUAUGGCUGCUCAUUCAACUGGCCUCUGGUCACUUCUGGUCCCAAACUUAAACUGCCUGGGGCUAAGGCACCCCAUUAACAGCACAGACUCCCCAUCCCCUCCCGCAGAGCCCUGAGUAGGGGACCAGGAGUCUGCAUCUAUACUGAACUCUCCAGAGAGUCUGAUGUGGGUAGUACAAAAACCACAGUUUCAAAACAUGUCCUGCGUCACUAAAGGUGGUUCUCUCUCUCUCUCUCUCUCUCUCUCUCUCUCUCUCUCUCUCUCUCUCUCUCUCUCUAAAGAGGAUUCAUUUUUGCCACUGUGCCCUACUGUCUUGCUUGACACUACUACCAGCACAGUACUUUGAUGUUUUAUUUAUGCUAUGUGGUUCCAUCACCCCUAUGCUUUCAUGACAAGGGCCUUGGAUCAGGUUGAAGCCGUGCUGACCAUUAGAUUGGUGGAGUUCAUGAAAAAUCACAGUUAAAGCUGUCAUUCAAAGAACGAACCCUUGGGGGCAGCAUUGCUCUACUUUGUUUGGUGUCCAGGCAGGUCGGGUGGAAGUUCUGACUUUUGCGAUGCUGGUUCAGUGUGAAUUUCGUUUUAUCUGCUUUUCAUCCUCUAUAACAUUGGUGAUUCAGACAGACAGUGACACAAUGAGGAUCAGGUUGCCUGCAAUAGAGGCUAGAUAUCCUCUCUCGCUCACCGUGGAUUUGGGGGAUUUUUUUUUUUUUUUUCUGGCUUCCAGGCAUGACCAAGGAUGAGGAUAAAUGACAAUCAAGUUGGGAGAGCCGGAUAAUUUCUCAGUUAUGGGAAGUCAUUUGCCUGCUUCCUUACCAGCCGUAAUGCAGAGAUUCCGCAGACAGUGGAAGGAGAGGUAUAAUUUGCAACUACCCCUUCGGUACUAACCAUUUCAUACACCAUCUCAUCUGAUCAUAAAAACAACAAAAACAACAACAACAACAACAGAAAACCUUUUUAAAGGUUGAUUUAUUUGCUUUAUUUUACUUCCUGUGUUCUGCCCGAGUAUCUGUGUGUGCACCACGUGCAUACUUGGUGCCCACGGAGGCCCAAAGAGGUUCCUGAGUCCAAAGGAGCUGGAGUAGCCAUCAGCUGUGAGCCGACAUACGGGUGCUGAGAACCGAUCCUGGGAGCCCGUGUCAUCUACAAAAGAGCAAGUGUUCCUAAGUGUUGAGCCAUCUCCAGCCCCUUCAUUCAUUUCUUACGGUAACCAUUCAUUCAGGACAGAAAAUUCCAAGCCCAGGGACAGUGAAGCCCAGAGAGAGGCCCCCCAAACCCAGCAUUCUCUUUGCAGACAGUGCUGUUUGGGGGCCAGCAUUCUCAGCAAAGCUGAUUUCCUAGUGGUUCUCCCAGGGCAGGCCAGUGGUGCUGUGACAUCUGUCUGUGCCCAGGAAGGAAGGCUCUGAGAGCCUCGAUGCUGAGCAGCAGACACGUCAUAAUUCACUUCCACUUUCAAGGGCAGAGCAGAGAAAAACAUAAAGGAAAGGAAGGGAAAUGAAGGAUUUCUAAAUGAAUGGGCAAACAUAGUCCCAGCUGCAGCUAAAAUCAAUGAAGUAAAAAUAGAAUUUGAGCAAAUCCAGAGUGAAGGCCUCCUGGGCUUAGAAAUGUACAUCUUCAGUUUCCUAAGGACAUCUACUGUCCAUCUCACAUCCGCAGACUUCUGCUGUGACUCCAAAGUCACCGGAGGGGCAUUCAGGUAAAGCCACACAUCAUAAACAAAACACACAAAGGGCCGCCUCCUUUUUGCCUAAGCUCAAUGAGGACUCGGGCAGGACAGAGUUCCAGAAUAGUGAGGUUGCAAGUACACAAAUAGAACUCAAGAGGGCUAAGUUUAGAAACUGCACAAUGUCAUUUAGGGACAUGUUUAACUUUGCAGGGGCAGGGUAAGGAGUGGAGGAGAGUAUCUGAGAAACACUAUGGGAAGCAGAUGUUGAAGCUAUUGAAUGGGGGCGGGCACCCAUAUUGAUCCUGUUUAUGCAGCCAGUUAUUUAUUUAUUUUAUUAGUUCAAAUUAGGAACAAACUUGCUUCACACGUCAAUCCCUUCUCCCUCUCUCUUCCCUCCCUCCCAACUCCCCAACAGCCUCCUCCCCCCUCUGCUCCCCAGGGAGGGUAGGGCCCUCCACAGGGGCUCCCCAAAUUCUACCACAUCAUCCUGGGACUGGCCCAGGCCCUCCCCCAUGUGUCCAGGCUGAGAGAGCAUCCCUUCACGUGGGAUGGGCUCUCAAACUCCCUUCUUACACCAGGAAAAGAUACUAAUCCACUACCAGAGGCCCCCUAGAGCACCAAGGCCUCCUCAUUGACAUGCAUGUUCAGGGGUCUGGAUCAGUCCCGUGCUGGCCUCCCAGACAGCAGUCUGGGGUCCAUGUGCUCCCCCUUGUUCAGGCCAGCUGUCUCUGUGGAUUCACCAGCCUGGUCUCAACCCCUUUGAUCUUCAUUCCUCCCUCCUGGCAACUGGGUUCCAGAGUUCAGUUCAGUGUAUAGCUGUGGGUGUCUGCCUGUUUCCAUCAGCCACUGGAUGAGGCCUCUAGGAUGGCAGCCAGUUAUUUUUGUAAUAUAAUUUAUUAUUUGUGUGUGCGUGUCUGUGUGUCUGUGUGUAUAUUGGGAAGAGCUUCUUGAGGCUGUCGUCAGUUCCUCACUUUGUCUCAUCCUGUGUUUCUAUAUCACAUAACAGAGAAUUGUGUUAAUCUAUUCACUAUGCCACCAAGAGUCCUUUCUUAGCCAUCUUUGUAAGCUGAAUUUUCUUAUCAUAAACCACAGUAAGUGAUGAAAGAGCAACAGAUUCAGAAGGGAGGGAAAGAAAAGAGGCUGAAAGGAAGGCAGAGGAAAAAGGACCAGGGUGGCUCUUUAGUGACGAAGGAAGCCAUCAGACCCUGUUUAGCAAGCCCCUCUCAGGUGGUUCUUCUUCUCCUUCUUCUUCUUCUUCUUCUUCUUCUUCUUCUUCUUCUUCUUCUUCUUCUUCUUCUUCUUCUUCUUCUUCUUCUUUUUCUUUUCUUCUUUUAUAUUUUUGAGACAGGGUUUUUCUGUAGCUUGGGAGGUUGUCCUGGAACUUAAUCUGUAGAACACGCUGGCCUUGAACUCACAGAGAUCCGCCUGCCCCUCUUAGGUUCUUAUUUUCUAAAAAUAGGAGAAAGAAAAUAGAAACAAUGACAGUAUCGUCUAUUGACUUUCUAGAUUUCUGCUUCCCCUUCCCAUGGAUUUUCUUGAACAAGCCAAGAGAGUAUGUUUCUCAAGUCUCUUUAAAGUCUGUAGCAGUACUUUCUCAUCUGGAUUACCAGCUCAUAAAUAACAACAUGGAAACUUAGUUGUUAGGAAAACUCGGCCUUAACUUGGGCUUGUUCUCAACUAGCUCCUAUAACUUAAAUUAAUCCAUUUAUAUUAGUUUACAUUCUGCCACAUGGUGUUACCUCUUCUCCCAGUAGCCCAUCCUGCUUCCUCUGAGUCUCGUUGGUGACUCCUUGUUUCUUCUUCCCAGAGUUCUCUCUCUCCCCAGAAGUUCCACCUAUACCUCCUGCCCAGCUACUGGCCAUUCAGUGUUUUAUGACACCCAUCACAACAAUACAUCGUCACCUAUUGUACAAAUAUCCCACAACAAAACUAUUAAUUGACUUGGGCAAUCAAAGGCUACCAUUAGCCCAUUUAUAUGAGUUGUUUGGCUGGAGAACUGAGUCAUCAUUUCCAGGUCUUCUCCAUCUUUGAUUCUCUGCAAAGCUAACAUUUAUUUAUUUUUUGACUGCCUUUGUACAUGGACAGUGAGGGUAUUGAUCAAGUCAAAGGUAUCAGGACUUCUACGACUAGUUUCAAAAAAACAUGAUAGGAAAAGAUAUUUCAUAGUAAUUUAAAGCUGGAAGAGAGCAUUAACAUUGUUAAUUGUAUCCAGGUGUGGCGAUAUGAUCCCAGAACUUGUGAAUUGAAGUUAAGAGGAUAAGAGUUCAGCUAUAUGAUGAGUUUCAUGCCAGCCAGGCCUACAUGAGUCCUUGUCUCAAAAAAAAAAAUGAAAACAAAACAAAGCACACACACACACACACACAAAUCACAAGUCAUUUUAAUGGAACUGAGAGUCAGAAAAACUAUAUCUGACUAACUUAAGGAUACUAGCUAAUUAGUAGUAUAUCUAGGGACAGCGUCUGAGAGGAAGUCAAUCAAUCAGGUAGUAAAUACUGAUCGAUAAGGGCUGAGGCCAAAUUGACAACUCGCUUUACUAUGUAGGGGCAUAAGACAGAAAUCCAGAAAGUAUUAGUGUUAUUGGAAGCAUGGCUUCCUGGUUCAUGGAGCUCUUGUGGGGUUUACAGCAACCGUUAACUCCCGGAUAAUAGUAAUUUUAAUCGAUUACAGAGACACUCUAUUUGCAGAGAGUGGUGGUUAAUGCAGAGACUUGUAGCUGGUCACAGUGCUGAGGAUGAGAGACUGAGGUGUCCUCGGCUUCAAAGUAGGUAUCCAUACCAUCGUCUUUCCUCCAAGGCCACUGUAGCAUUUUCUCUAAUGGUAUAGCUACUGGGUAAUUAGGUAGACAGAAAAAGGGGCUCCCAAGGAAAGAUAGGAGCAUGCCAGAGGGUAAUGGGGGAAGAAUCAUGAUGAAUUGUAUACAUGUAUAAAAUGAUUAAAAAUAACAAUAAAAUAAUGGACAGAAGAAUGACCCACAAACAAAGAGAAAGAAAACAAGGAAACGCAGCCCAUAGGGGGAAACUGUUCUAUGGGAAAUAACUAAAAGGAAAAGAGGCUGUGGUUGCACCCAUCACCAGCUGUCAGUCACCCUUGGUCAUGAAAAUUAAACCAAAGACUUUUGCAGAGCAAACCCAGACUCCCAAGGGUGGCCAAAGAUGGGAACAAAGACUCCAUCACAAGGCUGCAUCUCCAUUAGUGUGGGAGUGUCCCUAAGGACAGCCAGCACAAUGAAGGUGUAAGCCUCAGCAUGCAAAACAUGGAAGCCAUGUUGCAUAACUCUGAACACAGCUUGGAACCACUACCUCAAUUAAAUGUUUCUGUCCAUUUUCUCAGGACAUCCUCAUUUUAAGUUUCUUUUUAGGAAUUCCAGUCUCUCUCUCUCUCUCUCUCUCUCUCUCUCUCUCUCUCUCUCUCUCUCUCUCCUGAUUUAUAAAGUUUUGUGUCUGCUCCUUUUAAUUUUGAGCACCAACUAGAUGUCAACAUAGUGCCACAUAGGAAUUGCCACUUGUGUUUUGCACACUCGGAAAAGAUUCCUCUAAUUCUGAGACUUUUUUCUUCUAGUUGACUCUUCAUGGUCCUAUUCACUCAGACCAGAUCACUGAUAUAUUCUCUGAAACAUUUUUGUGGAUGUAGGGAAUGGUUACAAAACAUUCUGUGGAGGCCAUUAGAAUGUUUAGGACUGAAAAGUCUCCACGAAUGAUUGGACCAAAUAUAAAAUUGAUGUAAGCUCAGAGAUCAGUGGUUCUCAAGCUUCCUAAUGCUGUGACCCUUUGAUAAUACAGUUCCUCAUGUUGUGGUGACCCCAACUAUAAAGUUAUUUUUGUUGCUACUUCAUGACUGUAAUUUUGCAACUGUUAUGAAUGUAAUGUAAGUACCUGUGCUUUCUGAUGGUCUUAGGUGACUUCUGUGAAAGUUUUGUUUACCCUCCCGAAAGGGGUUGCAACCCAUAGGGUGAGAACCAUUGACAGGGAUGAAGAACUCCACAGGUGGCUCAAUAGUCAGGGCUAUGGGCUUGCACAGAGGAAAGGCUAUCUUCCUAUAAGGAAGCUUCAAAGUACAACUAAAAGGUACUCCAAGAGUCUCUGUCUUUGUAUUUUGUCCAUUGGGGUCAGUAGAAAUCUCUAUAGAUUCUGAAUUUUGUGACUUACUAUCACCUGACAGAUCACCACUGGAAAUCUUGGGGAAAGACCAUUGUCUUCUCAGGCAUAAGUGGAAAUUUUUUUCAUGAAGGGUACUUCCUCUGAGAUCUAGCCAAACUCCGUGAGGGGCAAGAAAUAACAGGUCUUGGGGAGAUGUGGGGUGGGGGACUUCAGAGCCUAGGAAGGAGCCACAGGCACAGCCCAGGACAAAAAUAGGAAGAUGGCUUGAGUGACCAUAGGCACAUAAGAGAGGUGUCAGAGGAGAGCUCAUCCAUUUGAGUGGUGAAGCCACAGUUAAAGGAAGCUGGGGACCAUGGAGGGCACCACAAGCUGGAAAUGUCCCCACAGUCAGGAGAGCAUAUGGUCUGAACAGGGGUCUGUGCAUAUGUCCUGGGCUCUUCUCCAGCAGGAAUACCUGGUUAGAAUUGCUUUGAAGUGAGGGAUUCUGUGCCGGGGAAGUUACUUUUGGAGUUUGGGUGGAGCCAGAAGUCAGAGAAUUGAUCCUGUCUCUACACAUACCUCUACCUCAGAUAUCCAGACAUCCAUUCACAAAGUGGAGUAUGCCGAUCAUAGACACAUUGACCUUUUAAUAUACAUGAGUGUAUCCAGAAAGCUUAGAAAUUAAAAUCUCCUUUAUCCCCUAGGGUGAUCAUUUAUAUCACUUAGGAAUCUCUUUGUACAAUCCUAGGACCUCAGCCUGCUGCAUAGCAUCUCAUCUGGGAGGCUUAAGUCACCCUAGCCCUCCCAUGUCCGACUGCUGGCUCCACCUCCUUCUGAACUGCUGCUUCUCCAAUCUCCUGUGACUCAAUGAAUGGGUCAGUUGAAUGGCUCUGGCAUUUGCCCUGUUGCCCGGUUCCAGCGUUGGAGCCAUGCCCUACUCCUCUCACAAUCCAGAGAUAACUCACCAGUGAGCAAGGACUGGUGGCUUCACCUUCAAAAUAUUUCUAAGAUGUGAGCAUGGAGGACUGGCCUGGAGGACUUAAACAACCAGCCGUCUCUAGUUCCCACCCAUUUUCUCUAAUUGUUCUCCACACACUAGCCAGAGUGACUUCCUGGGCAGGAAGAGGACACGCCCUCGCCAGCACAUCUGGAAUGGAACCCAAGAUCUCAUGUGGUCUAGGGGCUAGUCUGAUGGCCCUCAGGACUUGCUUCCUAAGCAUCUCUGUCCCUGUCUCUCUGUCUCUCUUCUCUCUUCUCUCUGUCUCUCUGUCUCUCUGUCUCUCUGUCUCUCUCUGUCUGUCUCUCUCUGUCUAUCUCUCGCUCUCUUUCUCCUCAUCCUCUUCCUCCUUGUCACCUUCCCUCCCUCUUGCCCUCUCCAGGAACCACACUGUUGCUAUCUUGGAACACAGAAGGUACACUCUUGCCUCACGUCUCCUGAAGUUUGCUCCUACAGCACAAGGAUACGUUUUCCUCCAGAGAUGUCCAGGGCUUAUUCUCUCAUCUUACAUCGGUAUCGAUUCAGACAUCACAUCUUGUCCCAGGAAGAAACCAGCCUUCUCGAUAUGUUCUAGCACUUUGCUCUGCUCUGUUUUCCUCCCAACACUUUUCACCAUUUGCUCCUCUCUUGUCCAUUGUCUUUUAAUUGUCCAUCUCUCUCAGUAGAACUUAGACCCUCUAGAGGCAGGGGGCUUCAAGCCUUUUGCUUCUUGUUGGAUCUGUGAGGAUACAGCCACACAGCACACUCUCAGCAGCAGCUUUAAGGACAGAUGGAUGGAUAGAUGGACGAACAGACGGAUGGAUGGAGGAUAUGAGCUCAUUUCUUUCUGUGAUAUAUGUGGGUUCUGAGGGACUUGACUCCUUUUUGGAGGAAUACAGCCCCAGCCACACUUGUCCUCUUCAACAGCAACAGCAGAAAUUUGUGAUGAGGGGAGUGUUAACAAGGAAAGGCAUGAGAAAGGAUGAAGAGACGAGAAGAAGUGGCUCAUAAUGGAGAAAAUUUUCCAAAGACAAAUUGGGAGCUCAUUUCCAUCUCUCAGCUGCCUCCUGCUACAUGAUGUCCAUGACAAUUAAAUGCCGCAGAAGAGUGUGGCAGAAUCCAAAUAAACAUCGGUGUGGAAUAAAUUCGUCAUCCCUCCAGCACUGCUGGAGACAGGCAGAGCUCUCCCUCAGGUUUCUGGGACGCAUCACUGGCUAAGGCACUAAUUCACACAAGGACACGAAUAAUGUCAUCUGGAUGAGCUCUUCACUUCAUAGAGCCAAGUUUCCUGUGCCUCCAUCAAGGCCAUCCUGCAGGAGACUGUGCCUGUAGUCUGCUUGGUCCUUCAUUCUUUGCAAAUGAGAGACUCAUUCUUCCAGAUUAUUAGUUUCUUUCUUGUUACUGUGAAAAAAAAUACAUUACAAAAACAAUUUAGGAAGGAGGAUUUGCUUUGGCCCACAGUUUGAGGGAACAGUCUACCAUGAUGUUUAAGUCCAACAAGAUACAUCAUGAAGGCAGGAUGGCAAGAUUAGGUGGCAUCUGUAGUCAAAAGGCAGAGAGAGACGGAUGCUGAUGCUAACGUUGUCUUCUCUCAUUUCCUCUGGAACUCCAGCCUUUGAACGGCACUGGCAACAUAUAGUAUGGGCCUUCCCAUCUCCAUUAGCCCAGUCUAGAAAAUCCAUCACAGAUAUGCCCAAAGAUUUGUCUCCUCAAUGGCUCUAAGUCCUGUCAAAUUGACAAUCAAUAUCAACCACCACACCAAGGUACUAAGAGUGAUGGCUACUUAUGGCUCUUCAUUGAGCCUGGGCAUUGCUCUCAGCCCAAGUUACCCCAAGCCUCAAGCCCCAACUCCUCAGAUCUCAAUGACUGGUAGUUGUGGGGAGGGCAGUCUCAAGGUGGGAUGCCCUGGAGGGGUUAACCCAGCUCCAGAGUUCUCCAGAGGAUAAACUGACACUGUCAUGUUGCUGUUCAGUUGGUCUUUUUGCCUGAACCUGUGUUAUCUGUCCUUUCCAGAUAUUGUUCCUAAAUACUGUCCUUAAUAAAGCUCCUGUUUUCUGAUCAUAGGGGAUCAACCUAUGACACCCUCAAAUAAUUUCAUGAUACAUGGUUGUUGGUCUGCUGGGACAGUGACAUGCUAAGCCCUCAGAAGUUGAAAGGGUCCCCAUACUGGUCCACAUCUCCAAGCCAGAUGUUUAGUUAUAAGCAGCAUUUUCCAGUUACCCCAGAGGUGAAGUAAGUACUUGACAAAUUUGGGGUGACGCAGUGAGAACUGGGACCAGGAAAGAGUAACAGGUUUAGCGACAAUGGUAGCCUUGUCUUCUUUGUAAUUCUGAGGAUGCGUGUCUCAGUCUCUGACAAUGUGGUUGGAAGGCUCCCUGUUCUGCAAACUAAGGGGCCCAGAUACACUCCUCAGAGAACAUCUGAAGCUGCAAAGUAGCUGGCCUGUGAACGAGAGGGUCUUCAUUCCCAUGUAGCUGAUGGCAUAAUCCUGGUGUUUGCUCUCGUUCCUGCUACCUCUCUGUGUAUGGGCAGCCAAGCUCUUCCUUUCUUGUACAAGAUACAUGAAGAGUUACACUCAAGGCUUCCUGGAGGCUGUAUCCAGA
ensembl:lncRNA